rnacentral:lncRNA from 1 species
UCCCAUAAGAAUGCAAGACAUUCUCUUCUUCUUCCACCCAUUGAGAGAGAGAGCCAUUGUUGUCUUGCAUAUCAAGUGGAAAACCAUUCCUCAUAUUUAUCUUGGAUAUUCUUGUGAAAGUCAUACCUCUUGGGAAAACUUCAAGAUAUUCUUCAAAGCCAAACAUUUGGACAAUCUUCAAAAGGACUAAGGAUUUCCACUUAUGGAUUCAGGUAUAAGGAGCUUUCAAAGCCAAACAUUUGGACAAUCAUCAAGAAGGACAAAGGAUUUCCACUUAUGGAUUCAGGUACGCUUCCGCUUAUGUUAUUAUUCCAAAUAAUUCGAUAUGAAGGCUAUUAUGUUUUAGUCGGAUUUAUAAUCCUAACAA